CCUACGGGAGGCAGCAGUGAGGAAUAUUGGUCAAUGGGCGGAAGCCUGAACCAGCCAAGUCGCGUGAGGGAUGAAGGUUCUAUGGAUCGUAAACCUCUUUUAUAAGGGAAUAAAGUGCGGGACGUGUCCCGUUUUGUAUGUACCUUAUGAAUAAGGAUCGGCUAACUCCGGGCCAGCAGCCGCGGUAAUACGGAGGAGCCGAGCGUUAUCCGGAUUUAUUGGGUUUAAGGGGUGCGUAGGCGGACUUGUAAGUCAGCGGGGAAAGUCUGUGGCUCAACCAUAGAAUUGCCGUUGAAACUGGGAGGCUUGAGUAUGUUUGAGGCAGGCGGAAUGCGUGGUGUAGCGGUGAAAUGCUUAGAUAUCACGCGGAACCCCGAUUGCGAAGGCAGCCUGCCAGGCCAUGACUGACGCUGAUGCACGAAAGCGUGGGGAUCAAACAGGAUUAGAUACCCUUGUAGUC
rnacentral:rRNA from 1 species